AAAAAAAAAUACCGUAUAGUCUGCUAUAAAGACCCCGAUAUGACAAAAUGUGACACAAUUAAAAGGAAAAACAUAUUUAUGGCAUGAUUGAUGAUACAACAAAAUGUUUGGGGUUAACCUUGAUUGUGAACGCUCAACCCAGUCCUAACCUGGGGCAACGGUUUAAAAGCACUUAUGAACAAACUGUGAAACUCAAUUGAAAAUGGUUUGACUCAUCAGAUAGACACGAAAGCAUAAAAACAAGUAACAUAACGACGAAAGACAAAAAGUGCCGAC
rnacentral:lncRNA from 1 species